GGGCCUAUAGUAUAGUGGCAAUACAGGGCAUUCGCAUUGCUCAAACGGCAGUCCGAUUCUGCCUAGGUCCACCA
rnacentral:tRNA from 1 species